GGAAUCUUAUUAAUUUGGGUGUCUGGUUAGUUAUAUUCACCAGGUGUAGCAUAGAAUUUCCCUAUGUACCACGACACCAUUAGAGAAGCAUCUGCACUAUAAGUUUGGUCAGAGUCGUCCAAGGCGGCAAUUUCUCGUUUGGAUCUGAGGCGUCCACGGUGGCGGCAGUUGCAGUAGGGUUUUUCGAGGUCACUCGGGUUCGGCAAUGGAGGCGAGGGGCUGGAGAUAGAGAGAAAUUGAAACGACAAAGAGAAGAGAAAAAACAAAGGAGGGUG
rnacentral:lncRNA from 1 species